CCUACGGGAGGCUGCAGUGGGGAAUAUUGGACAAUGGGCGAAAGCCUGAUCCAGCCAUGCCGCGUGUGUGAAGAAGGCCUUCGGGUUGUAAAGCACUUUCAGUGGGGAAGAAAGCCUUGGGGCUAAUACCCUCGAGGAAGGACAUCACCCACAGAAGAAGCACCGGCUAACUCCGUUCCAGCAGCCGCGGUAAUACGGAGGGUGCGAGCGUUAAUCGGAAUUACUGGGCGUAAAGCGCGCGUAGGCGGUCUGAUAAGCCGGUUGUGAAAGCCCCGGGCUCAACCUGGGAACGGCAUCCGGAACUGUCAGGCUAGAGUGCAGGAGAGGAAGGUAGAAUUCCCGGUGUAGCGGUGAAAUGCGUAGAGAUCGGGAGGAAUACCAGUGGCGAAGGCGGCCUUCUGGACUGACACUGACGCUGAGGUGCGAAAGCGUGGGUAGCAAACAGGAUUAGAUACCCUUGUAGUC
rnacentral:rRNA from 1 species